rnacentral:rRNA from 1 species
GACGAACGCUGGCGGCGUGCUUAACACAUGCAAGUCGAACGGAAAGGCCCUGCUUUUGUGGGGUGCUCGAGUGGCGAACGGGUGAGUAACACGUGAGUAACCUGCCCUUGACUUUGGGAUAACUUCAGGAAACUGGGGCUAAUACCGGAUAGGAGCUCCUGCUGCAUGGUGGGGGUUGGAAAGUUUCGGCGGUUGGGGAUGGACUCGCGGCUUAUCAGCUUGUUGGUGGGGUAGUGGCUUACCAAGGCUUUGACGGGUAGCCGGCCUGAGAGGGUGACCGGGCACAUUGGGACUGAGAUACGGGCCCGACUCCUAAGGGAGGCAGCAGUGGGGGAUAAUGCACAAUGGGCGGAAGCCUGAUGCAGGAACGCCGCGUGCGGGAUGACGGCCUUCGGGUUGUAAACCGCUUUCGCCUGUGACGAAGCGUGAGUGACGGUAAUGGGUAAAGAAGCACCGGCUAACUACGUG